GACGAACGCUGGCGGCGUGCUUAACACAUGCAAGUCGAACGGUAAGGCCCUUCGGGUACACGAGUGGCGAACGGGUGAGUAACACGUGGUGAUCUGCCCUGCACUUCGGAUAAGCCUGGGAAACUGGGUCUAAUACCGGAUAGGACCAUGGACUUCACGGUUUGUGGUGGAAAGCUUUUGCGGUGUGGGAUGGGCCCGCGGCCUAUCAGCUUGUUGGUGGGGUAAUGGCCUACCAAGGCGACGACGGGUAGCCGGCCUGAGAGGGUGUCCGGCCACACUGGGACUGAGAUACGGCCCAGACUCCUACGGGAGGCAGCAGUGGGGAAUAUUGCACAAUGGGCGCAAGCCUGAUGCAGCGACGCCGCGUGAGGGAUGACGGGCC
rnacentral:rRNA from 1 species